GGAGCCCAGUUCCUUCCUGAGAAGUAGGAGACAAGACCUCUCUCUCCUGCCUCAGUGCACCCCCUGCCCUCCCCGGUGGACAGGAGGCAAGAUGCUCAGGAGAAGGUUUAGGUCACAGAGGCCUUUGCUGCAGCUGACGGGCUACAUAUUUUUAACUCGGAGAAGAACGUCCCAGCCCUUCGGAGCUUCCCGCCAGCAGCCCCUCGUUGGGACCAGGAACGCAGCUUGCUUCCUGCCGUCGGUAGUCUCGCCUCCACCCCCACCCCAGCCCCAGCAGCUCCGACUUCUCAAGUCGAGACGGCGAAAGGUCUUGGGAAUUUUCAUAAAACUCUCAAAUCUGGCUGCGAGCCAAAGGGAAACAGCUCGGAGAGAGGCUGACGCUGUCGGCUCCUGAUUCAGUUUUGGGAUUUCGGAAGUUGGGGAUCACGGUGACAACGUAAGCAUCACAGUGCCGGGGAUGGACAUGAUUGUUUGCCAGGUGUGUGGUUCGUCCUUUCCUCCCAAGGGGAUGCAGCAUCAGGAGGACGGGCUUCUGAGGGAGCCAGAGACUUUAUCACCAGAAGAACAUGACAGCGGCCUGGCUGACUCUUCAUCAUUUUUAAGAUGUGACGACAGUCACCUCCUCCAGGAAGCCUUCUCAGACUUUCCGGCCGUGUCAGGAGCCUUGUCUGGACCCCUGCCUCUGCGCUGGGCAUGUGGCAUGCUGUAUGACACUGGUCUAUUUCUUCUCUGUCCCCGUCUUCAGACUGGGAGCUCCCUGAGACCAACCUCUGUGAUUAAACCAGUCUUCGGGCCUAUUCAGGCUUCAGCGCAGGGCUCGGGGCUGAGUAAAUACCAAUCCCCUUUGCGCAUGCCUCCCAGAGCUGGGGCCUCCAGGGCGGGCAGCCUCUACUUCCACCUUGCCCCCUUGCCCUGGGGAUAAGGCCCAGGCGUGGCCUCUGCUCCCAACACCUGCAGGCCACUCCGUGCAGGCCCUGAGCCCCUUCUCCCAGCCGCUGGGGCCUCCGCUCUCUCCCUUGAACAAAUAAUAAUUGUUAGAAAAAGGCCUGUGGAUAAAUUAUUAUCGUGACCCUCAUUCCAGUGCAGAAAACUUUUGCUAGCUGCCAAGCGAAAAGUCAAAAUUUGCAUUUAAAUAGAAAACGUUAGGCGAGCUGAACAGGGAGACCAGUGCCCCCAGAGGCCUCUGGGGGUGGAUGGGGGGAGGCCGUCAGUGCACCCCGCCCCGGAACCCCACUUGGGGCAGGGGGGACCGUCGGAGCCUGAGGCCAACUGGUCUUUUCUGUGGUCUGUGCCCCCUCGGGGUUCUGCAGUGUCCGGCCCCGCCGGGGCUGUGCGAGGGCUCGGUGGUCCACACGUGCACCUCUCAGAUGCCCUCCCUUCAACUCCCUUUGAACCUCAGUCUCCCUUCCGGGGCCCACAGUGAGCAGAUAAUCACAAACAUUCAGGGCGGGAGGAGACUUCACGGAUUGCGUCAAGGAGAACGUUUAGAGCGCAGUUUCUGAGCUACACAGACAAGGCAGCUGGGGACUUGGCUACUUGCUAAGUCACUUAGCCUCUCUGAGCCUCAGUUUCCCUGUUUAUAAAGGGCAGGUAAGAAACCUUCAUAGCUGCAUGUUAUUAUAUAAUCAAUAGAAUUUGGGAUCCCUGGGUGGCUCAGCGGUUUGGCGCCUGCCUUUGACCCAGGGCGUGAUCCUGGAGUCCCGGGAUCGAGUCCCACAUCAGGCUCCCUGCAUGGAGCCUGCUUCUCCCUCUGCCUGUGUCUCUGCCUCUCUCUCUCUCAGUCUGUGUCUCUCAUGAAUAAAUAAAAUAAAAUAAAAAAAAAAUAGAAUUUA
rnacentral:lncRNA from 12 species